AGCCUAGCAAAUCACCUACUACAUUCUCCUAGCAACUUCCUACUCUCUACAGCUUGUUGCUAAGAUGAUUCCUUUGAGUCCCAGCAAAUUCUAUGAUGGCCUUCUUUUUUCUUUCCUAAAUUCUAUAAUAGGACACUUUUUUUGCUUUUGAAAAACAGAGCUACUGCUAGCAAAGCUGCAAUCCAAUACAAAGCCUGCAAUCUAAUACAUGUCCAAUACAUGCCUGCUGAGAAGUAAGCUCCAUUGGGUUCAAUGGGACGUACUCCCAGGUCCCCUCUGGCACAUAAGUAUCGUAGUCAACAAAAGCAGCUGGCCAUACAUAAUUCACCAGUGUUCACUUGAGACAUCCACCUCUUGUUCAUCUCAGUCCAUACACUGCGUACUCAUUGUACUACAUCACCCUUGAAAAGAGAAGGAUGCUAGUGGCUAAAAAAGAAAAUAGAGCAAAACUGAAGACAACUGUUACAGUCUGUGGUUUAAAAUACGUCUAAACCAAACAGAUAACAGAAAGCAAUUUAAAAAUGGAAGAAGGCCAAACACACCAUCUAGGAUGAUACACCCACUCUAUUGUUUCCAGCCUAAGUGCUUUUCAUAUUACAUGUAAUACAUCCCCAAUAGCAGUUUCUAUUGCGGCCUCUGAUUCAGUUUCAAAUAUUAUUUACUCACCCUGGAAAGUUAUUGCUUUCUAACUUUCCUGGUACUUACUGCCAUCUGAAUUAGAUUUUCAGUAUCCUCUUUCUCUUUUAUGCCUCCGUUAUCUGCAUUUCUUGGUCUUGCUUCUUGAAGUUAUAUAUAAACAUUGCCAUAUAGUUUUCUGUUCCCGUUUCCCACUUUCAGUAUUGCUGUAAAUCCACAGGAAACUUCAAAAAUUAUUUGCUUAUUUUGGUGCAGAAAAGCUUAAAACAUUGAAUUGUGACGUGAUCCAAUAACUGAGCACCACAAGAGUAGCAACAGCUUUCACAAGGUUGUUUCCUUCCACAGUCAAGAGUAGAAUCCAUUUGUGUGCACGGUUCACUUGAUGAGGGUCCUGGGGUCAAGCUUAAGCAUGAUGUGUGUUUUCGUUUACAAUAUAUUUUGAGAGGAAAUUUAGAAGAAUCCACACAUUUGGCAUCAAAUCCAGAGGAAGUUAAUCACACUUGGGUCCCAAUGAAAUAAAUGGAGCAAUUUAUUCAUGUUAACUUAGAUCAUUCUGGAUGUGGGGAGGGGGGCUGCAUGCAAACCUUGCAGGCCAACAUAACAAGCAGAAAUCCUGUUACUUUUAUCUUGCAGCUUCUGCAAAGGAUAUCUGUGUAGUGAAUUGGCACAUGUUGAAAAAAUUACAUGAAAAUAGACUGGUAUGGGUUUUGCUAUCAGUUUUCUCACAAUAGGAUUACCACUGUGGGUUUAUCUUAAAACAAUAUGGAGCCAGAGUCUUGGUCUUAACAAAAGAAUGUUAAGAGCCUGGAAUAUCAGGUGACGUGCCUCAGUGGGAGCUAAUUCAUAGUUAAAAGAUAGUUUGUUGACAAAGGACCACUCUGAGAUGUUAUAAAUAGGAAAAACCAAUCAGAGAAUGGGGUAGAUGAUAUACCGCCCAGACAGGUAAGGAUGAUGUAAUCCACAUUUCUGUGUGAAAGGAAACAAUCAAAACUGGAGUUUGGAGUCUAUCCUAAGGGAGAGACAAAGAGAUGUGUUUUGGACUCUAAACUAUGAGAAUAUUUUGAGUUGCUGGCUGCCUCUCUCUGGAGAUGUGAGGUAGGCUCCAAGCAACAAGAUGUUCAAACUGUGGGUCUCUGUAAAUUUGUAAAAAAAAAAAUCCUCAAAUUUUACCAAACGUAAGCCUCCAAUGACCUCAGCCCUAAGGAGAUCA